CUUGCUUGACUGGCUUCUUUCUUGUGAUGCGGAACUCAUUAAUUCUCAUGUUGAGUGAUGUUCUACUGCUUUUUGGAGCCGUCACUGUCAGACCCGUAGUGGCGAACAUGGAGAACUUCACCCUUUGCACUAAGAGAACUGAGGAUGUCUCACACCCGGAUCCAUCAGGCUCCCCACAUCCAUGUUCACCAGACACUCCAUCAGAGGCUGACAGACACGAACUGCUAUAUGACAUCCUGAGGCUACCCACAACACAAUUCCAGGAGCUCUGUUGUGGAAUGCGCAACAAUAUGACAGCAGAGGAGCUUGCACAGAUGUUUGCCUCGUGGACUGAAGACAGAGUCAGAAAGAACAUUUUUGAAACCAUGGCGGAACUUGAGGAAAGGAAAAACAUCCUCUCUUCCAGCUAUCAUGAACGAAUCCAGCAUAAUAAAGAGGAGAUGACUGAGGAACUUCCUGAAGUCCAGCUGGCCCCAGUGACAAAAGAGAUCUUUGGCACAGUUCUGGACUCUUUGCAGGGGUCCUCAUCUGACCUAACCAAGGUUGCAAGUAAACAGCAAUUCGUUAGUUACCUUAGUGGGAUGGUACACAAAAUUAAGGCUUUCCCAAAACGCUUGAAGCCAUCGCGUAAGGUCUCCAAAGAGCUGAGCAUCACACCAGAUGUGUGCAAAACACUCUCUGACCUUCUAGCCCCGCCUGACACAGAAGGUGGCGUAAAAUCCACCCAGUCUACCACUAGUCUCCAUAGCGACGUGGAUCGACUCUGUGCCGAGGAUGACUUCAAUAGAGCUUCAGAGAAUGUCAAUAACAUCCUUUUUACAACGCCAGUUUCUUCUUCAAGCCAAGAUGACAUCACUCAGGCUUUACAGCCUGACGCCAGUUCCCUCUCAGUGUCAUCCGGGAUUUCCGUGCACGACGAUGCUCGUGGAAUUGUUACCACUAUUGUGACCGACUUGGAGCAUCUUUAUGAGGGCAUGGAGCCAAAAGAAAUCGAGAUGCUGCAAAACCAGGAGGAGCCCAUCGGGGAAUGUCACACCACUGAAAAAACAUUUAACAACAAAGUUUACAAUGUCCUGUGCCGCACUCAAAUAAAACUCAGAAUGUUCUUCACCGUGCAUCACUCACAAGACAUCGUAACAGACUCGGACAUGGACCUGCCGACCGAGGACCCUUCUCUUGCAGACACUCAAGAGGCUGCCUCCCUGGCAGAAACUGGAGAUGGUCCUGAUCCUGGUCCUUCUGAUGGAGAAGUACCUAAAGAUGAAUGGGCUGAACUUGGUGAUGGUGUUAUUGAAACAAUUGCAGAGACUUCCCCAACCUCAGAGAUACCAGUUGUGGUGAUAUCUGACAGUAACAAGCGCAGCAUUGGGGGAAAAAUUAAGAAUAUCUUUGCCAAACAGCCAAAGAGCUUGAAUGAUGCCCCAGUACUGCUUGUAGACACCCAAGAGGCAGCCUCCCUGGCAGAAACUGGAGAUGGUCCAGAUACUGUAUCACUGGCCUCUGAGACACAUGGACAGCAAGCCAUGAUGACCUCGUCUCAAACUUGUUUCAAGGAUGAACCUAAAGAUGAAUGGGCUGAACUUGGUGAUGGUGUUAUUGAAACAAUUGCAGAGACUUCCCCAACCUCAGAGACACCAGCUGUGGUGAUAUCUAACAAUAACAGGCGCAGCAUUGGCAACAAAAUUAAAAAUAUCUUUGUCAAGCAUCCAAAGAGCUUGAAUGAUGCCCCAGUACUGCUUGUAGACACCCAAGAGGCAGCUUCACUGGCAGAAACUGGAGAUGGUCCAGAUACUGUAUCACUGGCCUCUGAGACACAUGGACAGCAAGCCAUGACCUCAUUGUCUCAAACUUGUGUCAUGUGCGACAGUGUCAUGGAACCAACUGCAGAAACUGGCCAUGUGUGUCAGGCAUCUCCAGUCUUGCACACGAUUGGCAAUAAAUUCAAAAAUCUAUUUCACAAAAAAACAACGAACUUGAAGGAAUUCCCUACAGUGCCGGUAGAUACCCAGGAGGCAGUUUCCGCCUUGGCAGAGACAGGAGAGGACAGCAGUGGUCUUGAUGCUAUCUUACUAGCAUCUGAGACACAUGGACAGCAAUCCAUGGCCUCAUCGUCUCAGACUUGUCUCCAGGAUGACCACCUCACGGUCCCCGCUGACAGAGAAGAAACCGAGAGUCAAUGUUCUGCUAUCUCUGAACCCCCAGCUGCCAUGACAACAGCUGAAAACGAUGGCAACAAACGGGGCAUUGGGAGGAAAUUAAAAACCCUCUUUACCAGACAGCCAAAGAACUUGAGCGAAGGCCCCAAAGUACCAAUAAUCUCCCAGGAGCCAAUUCCCUCUCUUGAGGAGACUGUAGCUGACAGCAGCACACCUGAAGUCGUACUACAGGCCUUUGAGGCCUACGCGCCCGCUGAAGAGUCUGCUCCUCUGUCUGAGGAUGUUUAUGUGUGCGAUGGACCUGCAACACCCUCCUUAAGCCCAGAGGAAGAGCUUGCAUCGGGCACGGUCAGCUCCAACAACAAAGAUAAACGCCUCAGCAUUGGUACGAAACUGAAAAAUGUUUUCACAAAACAGCCUAAGUCACCACAGGGUAGCCAGGCAAUGCCAGCAAACACCCAGGAAGCGCUUUCCACAGACAGAAACAUGCUGAGGACCUGUACCAGGUGUUACAGUGACAGCAACCUUCCUGGUGCAGCUGUACCUGAGGAAUUUUCCAAUGUCGCUGAGGCAACAGCAGCCUUGAAGGAGACGAUUGAGAGAGUACGCACUGGUCUGGACGACCCAGCCACGGCAACAGCAAAGAUCGAACUCCUGAUGUCACGCGGAGUCCUCCGUCCAUUCGUCAGACCCAUGGUGGACAGCGUGUUCAAUUACAUGAGCGCCACCAGUGGCUCACCAGCCUCUAGCGCCCCCGGCAGGUUCGCCUCUGAAACCACCAUUCAG
rnacentral:lncRNA from 1 species